rnacentral:tRNA from 1 species
GCCUGUCUGGCUCAGUUGGUAGAUCAUGUGACUCUUGAUUCCAGGGUUGUGAGUUCAAACCCCAUGUUAGGCA